rnacentral:rRNA from 1 species
UUCAGAGGGUGCGAACGUUAAUCGGAAUUACUGGGCGUAAAGCGUGCGUAGGCGGUCGUGUAAGUCGGGAGUGAAAGCCCCGGGCUCAACCUGGGAAUUGCAUUCGAGACUGCACGGCUGGAGUGCGGAAGAGGGAAGCGGAAUUUCCGGUGUAGCGGUGAAAUGCGUAGAUAUCGGAAGGAACAUCAGUGGCGAAAGCGGCUUCCUGGUCCAGCACUGACGAACAGGCACGAAAGCGUGGGGGGCAAACAUG